GAUGAACGCUGGCGGCGUGCUUAACACAUGCAAGUCGAACGAUGAAGCCCAGCUUGCUGGGUGGAUUAGUGGCGAACGGGUGAGUAACACGUGAGUAACCUGCCCUUAACUCUGGGAUAAGCCUGUGAAACUGGGUCUAGUACCGGAUAGGAGCGCCUACCGCAUGGUGGGUGUUGGAAAGAUUUAUCGGUUUUGGAUGGACUCGCGGCCUAUCAGCUUGUUGGUGAGGUAAUGGCUCACCAAGGCGACGACGGGUAGCCGGCCUGAGAGGGUGACCGGCCACACUGGGACUGAGACACGGCCCAGACUCCUACGGGAGGCAGCAGUGGGGAAUAUUGCAAAAUGGGCGAAAGCCUGAUGCAGCGACGCCGCGUGAGGGAUGACGGCCUUCGGGUUGUAAACCUCUUUCAGUAGGGAAGAAGCGAAAGUGACGGUACCUGCAGAAGAAGCACCGGCUAACUACGUG
rnacentral:rRNA from 1 species